UGAUCUCCUACAAUCUAAGUUUUAGAAGAGAGAGAGUAGAUGUCAAGAUGUCUGGAUUCUAUUACGGGCUUUGCUACUAAGAGCUCAUAUGACCUCUACACUUCAAUUUCCCUAACUCUAAAAAAAAAGUAUGUGAACUUGAUGAACUUUGAAAUUAUUUCAGACUAGAAAAGUUGAUGGUAUUAUGAAUGAAAUGAACGUUUUGAUAAUAUUGCCAAUUAAAAGAAACCAUGACUGAGAGGGCCAAUGGUGACUAAGAGGACAGGUGCCCCACCAGGCAGACCUGCUAUGAGCAUUCAACAUCUGAGUUGCCAGGGACUUUUUAAUGACAAUGAAAUCAAGAUGAUGGAAUGCCUCAUAGAGUACAUGCCAUAAGUUCCAGGCAGAGUCUGUUCAGCACCCAGAUAAUCGGUAGACAAAUGUACAGUGUGGAAAAGGUAGAGAGAGACUAGCUGCCAAUAAGCCAAAGCAUUCAUUGCUUGCAAAGUAGAAGCAAAUGUUGCUCACAUCAGAGCAUAUGAAGCAAGGCCUCCUAUUUCAGUGUGUGUUGG
rnacentral:lncRNA from 1 species